AGGUUGGCUCAGAAGCAGCCAUCCUUUAAAGAGUGCGUAACAGCUCACUAGUCGAGUGACCCUGCGCCGAAAAUGUACCGGGGCUAAGCCUGAUACCGAAACUGCGGAUUGUAGGAAACUAUAGUGGUAGGGGAGCGUUGUAUACGAGUGGAAGCCGUACCGUGAGGAGCGGUGGAUUGUAUAGAAGUGAGAAUGCCGGUGUGAGUAGCGAGAUGUAGGUGAGAAUCCUACACACCGAAAGCCCAAGGAUUCCAGGGGAAGGUUCGUCCGCCCUGGGUAAGUCGGGACCUAACGCGAGGCCGAAAGGCGUAGUGGAUGGAAAGCAGGCGAAAGAUUCCUGCACCCGUAUAUGGAGCGAAGGAGUGACGGAGACGGAUAGUGUGACCCUCUUAAUGGAUUGAGGGCGAAGCGAAGCGGCUGGUUACCAGGCAAAUCCGGUAACCAUAAGGCUAGAGCGUGAUAGGUAAGCGAAAUCUUAGGAAAGUAGCGAAGCACAUGAUGACGGCUUCCAGGAAAAGCUUCUGGCAAUGCAUAUGCGGCCCGUACCAAAACCGACACAGGUGGGCAGGGAGAGAAUCCCGAGGUGAGCGAGAGAACUGUUGCCAAGGAACUCGGCAAAAUGACUCCGUAAGUUAGCGAGAAGGAGUGCUUAAGCAAUUAAGCCGCAGUGAAGAGGCCCAAGCGACUGUUUAACUAAAACACAGCUCUCUGCGAAGUCGCAAGACGAAGUAUAGGGGGUGACACCUGCCCGGUGCUGGAAGGUUAAGAGGAUCUGUUAAGAGCGAUCUGAAGCAGUGAUCCGAAGCCCCAGUGAACGGCGGCCGUAACUAUAACGGUCCUAAGGUAGCGAAAUUCCUUGUCAGGUAAGUUCUGACCCGCACGAAAGGUGUAACGAUUUGGGCGCUGUCUCGGCAGCAGACUCGGUGAAAUCUUAGUACCUGUGAAAAUGCAGGUUACCCGCAACUAGACGGAAAGACCCCAUGGAGCUUUACUGCAGCCUGAUAUUGAAUUCUGGUCAUACAUGUACAGGAUAGGUGGGAGACAAAGAGACGUGCACGCCAGUGUACGAGGAGUCGACGUUGGGAUACCACUCUUGUGUGACCGGGGUUCUAACCUGGUAUCGAGAACAGGUACGGGGAGAGUGUCAGGUGGGCAGUUUGACUGGGGCGGUCGCCUCCCA
rnacentral:rRNA from 1 species